CAAACAUAGUGUUUGUACCACUUCCAGCUGAAGUACAAAACAUGUAAAUCCCUCAAGGAAUGGAAAAAACAAUGCUCCUAAAGAUGUCAGAAAGACAUCAAUUCAAAAUUCUGCUAUGACGUAAUGAUACCUUCCAGGGAUGCUUUAAAAUCAUGCUUUAAAACCCUGAAGUGUAUCCAGUGACACUCAGCUGGAUGCCAUCAUGCUUGCAAAUGCAUACAAAGGCCCUUGAGUAUUUACUGGGCUAUGGGCUACUCUGAUGCCUCCUCUACACUCAGGGCCAUCCCAUUGGCCUUGCAACAAUUAAGAAUGAGGAAGAUCUGUAUCCAGAAAAGGGAGCCCUGGAGAACAGAAAGGAAGAAUGGUCUAGAAGAGCAUUGUGGAGUGGUUCUCUCAUCUUCUCAGGGAAUGUAAAUGGAAAGGCUAGAGCUACAGAGGCAUCUCGAUCUAUGAGAAAAAGGCCACGAGAAUCAUAGGGGCCUCACUCAGCCUUGUUAUCCCUGAGCUCCUGAAUCAGUGCCAGAAACCACCUGUGGAGUCCUAAUAAGAUAACUCCUUUUAGAAGAAAAUUCAAGAUCUGGCAACACUGUGCCCAAGCUUCUCUAAGGAAGAGAUUGUCAAAGUGUGGUGCCUGGACCAGCAGCAUUAGCAUCACCUGGGACCAGUUAGAAAUGAAGAUGCUCAGGCUCCAUCCCAGACCUGCUGGGGCUGGGGCCCAACAAUCUGUGUUUUAACAGGCUCCCUGUGUGACUGUGAUACGUGAUGCUCCAAGGUAACAGUGGUACUUGCAAAUCUUAAGUUUCUGGCUGAGCACUUUCAGUGUGGGGGAAAAUACUCUAUAGAACAUCACAGCCAGGGAAGGCAAAAUAUUCUCCAUAGCUUCAUUAAUUAUACUGGGAACAUCAAGUAGCCCCUGGGAAAAUCUCUACAGAUGCACUCCUGAGAGGGAAUAUUACAGGGAUUGGAGAUAAAAAUCCCUAAGGAAAAUUAGUGGCUAGUAACCCACAGAGAAGAGGAAAUUAAAUAUAUUUUAGAUAGGACUGCACAAAGGCUUAAUGCAACUUAAGAUAUGCAGAUUGAUGUGUAAUAUAAAUAUAUUUACUCUUAGCAAAAGCUUCCCUGAAAGCCA
rnacentral:lncRNA from 1 species